UACGGAGGGUGCAAGCGUUAUCCGGAUUUAUUGGGUUUAAAGGGUCCGUAGGCGGACUAUUAAGUCAGCGGUGAAAGCCCACAGCUCAACUGUGGAACUGCCGUUGAUACUGGUAGUCUUGAGUACAAGUGAAGUUGGCGGAAUGUGUGGUGUAGGCGGUGAAAUGCUUAGAUAUCACACAGAACACCAAUUGCGGAGGCAGCUGGCUAACUUGUAACUGACGCUGAGGGACGAAAGUGUGGGGAUCAAAACAGG
rnacentral:rRNA from 1 species